CGUAGGGUGCGAGCGUUAAUCGGAAUUACUGGGCGUAAAGCGUGCGCAGGCUGUUCUGUAAGUCAGAUGUGAAAUCCCCGAGCUCAACUUGGGAACUGCGUUUGAAACUACAGGACUAGAAUAUGUCAGAGGGGGUAGAAUUCCACGUGUAGCAGUGAAAUGCGUAGAGAUGUGGAGGAAUACCAAUGGCGAAGGCAGCCCCCUGGGAUAAUAUUGACGCUCAUGCACGAAAGCGUGGGGAGCAAACAGGAUUAGAUACCCUGGUAGUCCACGCCCUAAACGAUGUCUACUAGUUGUUGGUGGAGUAAAAUCCAUGAGUAACGCAGCUAACGCGUGAAGUAGACCGCCUGGGGAGUACGGUCGCAAGAUUA
rnacentral:rRNA from 1 species